UACGUAGGGUGCGAGCGUUAAUCGGAAUUACUGGGCGUAAAGCGUGCGCAGGCGGUUUUGUAAGCCAGAUGUGAAAUCCCCGGGCUUAACCUGGGAAUGGCAUUUGGGACUGCAAGGCUGGAGUUUGGCAGAGGAGACUGGAAUUCCUGGUGUAGCAGUGAAAUGCGUAGAUAUCAGGAGGAACACCGGUGGCGAAGGCGGCAUCCUGGACCGGUAUUGACGCUGAGGCGCGAAAGCCAGGGGAGCAAACGGG
rnacentral:rRNA from 1 species